rnacentral:rRNA from 1 species
CCUACGGGAGGCAGCAGUGGGGAAUAUUGGGCAAUGGGCGCAAGCCUGACCCAGCAACGCCGCGUGAAGGAAGAAGGCUUUCGGGUUUUAAACUUCUUUUAUCAGGGACGAAGCAAGUGACGGUACCUGAUGAAUAAGCCACGGCUAACUACGUGCCAGCAGCCGCGGUAAUACGUAGGUGGCAAGCGUUAUCCGGAUUUACUGGGUGUAAGGGUCGUGUAGGCGGGAGUGCAAGUCAGAUGUGAAACCUAUGGGCUCAACCCAUAGCCUGCAUUUGAAACUGUACUUCUUGAGGGCUGGAGAGGCAAUCGGAAUUCCGUGGGUAGCGGGGAAAUGCGUAGAUAUACGGAGGAACACCAGUGGCGAAGGCGGAUUGCUGGACAGUAACUGACGCUGAGGCGCGAAAGCGUGGGGAGCAAACAGGAUUAGAUACCCGAGUAGUC